rnacentral:tRNA from 1 species
GUGCCCGUAGCUCAGUCGGUAGAGCACCUGCCUUUUAAGCAGAGGGUCGUUGGUUCGAUUCCAACCGGGCACA